rnacentral:rRNA from 1 species
UACGUAGGGUGCAAGCGUUAAUCGGAAUUACUGGGCGUAAAGCGUGCGCAGGCGGUUUUGUAAGUCUGAUGUGAAAUCCCCGGGCUCAACCUGGGAAUUGCAUUGGAGACUGCAAGGCUAGAAUCUGGCAGAGGGGGGUAGAAUUCCACGUGUAGCAGUGAAAUGCGUAGAGAUGUGGAGGAACACCGAUGGCGAAGGCAGCCCCCUGGGUCAAGAUUGACGCUCAUGCGCGAAAGCGUGGGGAGCAAACAGG